CUAUGCUAUAGCCAAUGUUUUGAUCCUUCUCUUGAACUUGAGUACCUUACUCAAUGUUCUUGCUUGCCCUUAUUGUCCUUACCCAAGCCCUAAACCACCUUCACACCACCCUCCUAUUGUUAAGCCACCAGUUCACAAACCACCAAAGCAUUCUCCUACUCCUAAACCACCAGUUCAUAAACCACCAAGAUAUCCUCCUAAACCAUCACCUUGUCCACCCCCAUCAUCAACACCAAAACCACCUCAUCAUCCCAAACCCCCAGCAGUACACCCACCACAUGUUCCAAAACCACAUCCACCUUAUGUUCCAAAACCACCAAUUGUUAAACCUCCAAUAGUACAUCCACCUUACGUACCAAAACCCCCAGUUGUGAAACCACCACCAUAUGUCCCUAAACCACCUGUUGUGAGACCACCCUAUGUUCCUAAACCACCAGUUGUACCUGUAACACCACCUUAUGUUCCUAAGCCACCAAUUGUUUUCCCACCACAUGUUCCUCUACCUCCAGUUGUACCAUCACCACCACCUUAUGUACCAACACCUCCAAUUGUGAAACCACCAAUUGUUUUUCCACCACAUGUUCCUCUACCUCCAGUUGUGCCUGUAACACCACCUUAUGUGCAACCACCACCUAUUGUAACUCCACCAACACCAACACCUCCAAUUGUGACACCACCAACACCACCUAGUGAAACACCUUGUCCUCCACCACCACUUGUACCUUAUCCACCACCACCAGCACAACAAACAUGUUCCAUUGAUGCUUUGAAGUUGGGUGCAUGUGUUGAUGUGCUUGGUGGACUCAUACAUAUUGGUAUAGGUGGAAGUGCUAAACAAACAUGUUGUCCAUUGCUUCAAGGACUUGUUGAUUUGGAUGCUGCUAUAUGUCUUUGCACCACUAUUAGACUUAAACUUCUUAAUAUCAAUCUUGUUAUCCCCCUUGCUCUUCAGGUUCUCAUUGAUUGUGGCAAAACUCCACCAGAAGGGUUUAAGUGCCCAGCUUCUUAAUCAUAUAUGCACAAAGCUAGUACAUUUAUAUUUUGAAGGUAACUAUUUAAUUCAACUUUAUAUACUUUUCUUUUAGUAAAAUUUGUGUACAUGCAAUUUUAUUAUUUAGAUUAGAUUCAAAUAUAUUUUUAGUAUUUACAAGUAUACUGUUUUUUUGCCAUUUAUUGGUCUUCGUAAUUUUUCUUUUGUUUUUAGUCUUUGCAAUAUGAAUAAGGACUAAAAUAAAUAUUGUAUAGAUCAAUUCCAACAUAACAACUUUGCAGGGAAUGUAAUAAAACACCAAUGAUCAAAAGUAAAAAGUAGUAUAUUUAUAGGGAAUAAAAACAAAAAUUUCAUAUAUUUGGAUGGACUAACUAAAAACGAAAAAUUGGUAUAUUUAUGUCAUUAGUUGUGUUCGGAACUUUUCUAUUGCUAAAAUCAUAUUAAUAAAAUUUGUUUACAUUCAAUUUCAUUGAUUAAGAUUUUAUACUAUGUGAUUGUGACCUAGAUGUGUUAAUGUUUACAGGAAUUCCAUGAAUAUUAGUUAGCUCGGAAUAAGCGUUUACAAGUUGAAAGAGAUGUAGUGAAAAAAUUGUCAUUGUUUCUCGUUCAAGUUGGUGUAGGGAUACCAGAAAUGAAGGACAAGAACGUAGUAGAAUUGUACUUUGAUGGAAAUUAUGUAACUGGAAGAAGACCAAAAAAAUAUUCUGCACUUCACGUAGUAGUCGUCGUCAUGCAUUAAUAUGACAUAAACUUUCAAUUUAAUUAUUUUCUGUUUCUAUCUUUUUGUCACUUUCUUUCAUUGCGUAUGAUGCUGUGUGUGUAUGUCAGCGUUUGUAAGUUCAACCCGUGAGUGCUUUGGGGAAAUGUAUAAUAAGUUCUUUUUAUAUUUUCUUCAAAAUGCUUGAUUCUCAUCUAACACAUUUCUUCGUAUUAUCCGGAAUAUUGUCCUUUAAAAGAAAAUUACAAACAAAAAUCUUGAAAGAAAGAAUAAACAGUGUGAUAAUAUUUCUCCUUAUGAUGAUUAGUAAAUGCUUGUUUAGCAUAACGGUCUCAGUCAAAUUGGAGGACCCGCUCGAAUAUUAAAAAUAAAACCCUAAUAAAAAAAUUAGUGCUAAUUUAAACAAUUAAAAAUUAACAACAAACUUUUUUUUUAUUUGAAUUUGUUCUACUGAUUUUUUUGUUGGUGGGAUGUGUGAGUCGGGUCUAACUUAUAUAAUAUUUUCUCUUUUAUUUUUAUCAAAUAAUAAGAGUUUGGUUUAACCUAUCUUCUAUUAUAAUAAAAUAAAAUUUUACUAUAUAUCUUCCACAUAACUUUUUGCUCAUGUUGUUUAGUAUUGUGAAUUAGAGACAAAACUUCUCUUUAAUGAUUUUGUUUGGAGAGCAUAUCUGCUAGUUUUCGCCGAUUUUCCCUAAUUUGCGCCAAACGUACGUGCAUGUUUUUUAAUAUUCUUGCUAAUUACACAUAUCGCCAAAACUAUUUCCUUAAAAUUAGGAUAAAGUUUUUUUUGAAGAACAGUAGCACUGUCAAAAAAAAAAUGUCUAAAACAGUACAUUAUAGAGUACUAUACCUAAAUUUCCCCCCUCAUAAAAAAUUGGUCUAUAUUAGUGUGCAAAGUGUACACUAUGCAUUUCAAUUUUGAAUUUUCAAAAAAUGGACUAUAUGAAUUUCACAAAACUUCCGUUUUAAUUAAUAAAUAUUGCUCUUAGGAUAUUCAUUAGUAUUUUUCUAUAUUAAAUUCAUAUAUAAUAUGUCAUGUAAAUAUGUCCCCCUAAACACAAUUGACGCGGAAUUGAACCCACAAUUUCACACUUUAAGUUAGAGGUACUUACAUCCAAAAAAAUCCAAAAUAAAACCGUAAAUCAAUUCAAAAAAACAAAAAAUUGUGCCAAACCAAAUUUUAUUGGAUGUCUUAAUUAGGAUGUACUUUUAUAACAACCGUUUUGAUCGGAUUGAAUUUUGAACUCAUUUUUCAAAACAGACCACAUACAUAAAUAUUAAUACUUAUUUAUUUUUAAUUGGUAUAAUAUAUUGCAUUAAUCCAUUAUUUGUAAAUUUCUUAUUUUCUUUUAAUAAUACUUAUGAGUUAAAUUUAAUUUGUUUGUUUUUAUUAUUUCAUGGGGUUAAUAGUGUUUUACCCCAUGUAAUAUAAGUCAUUUCCAGUUUACCUCCUGUGAUUUUUUCUUAGAUUCCAUCCUUGUAAUUUGAAGAUUUUUUAUUUUAGACCUUCAUGAAUUUUGACUAUAAAAUCGAUGACAUGGUAGAAGGUAAAUCGAAAUUUGCUCAAAUUACAAGGGGCGAAAGUACCUUAAAUUUUGUAAUUGAUGUCAAAGAAUGUCCAAAAUCAAAGAAUCUUCAAAUUAUAAGGACAUAAUCUAAAAAUAUAUAUAUAGGGGUAAUCCAGAAAUGACUUAUAUUAUAGGGGUGAAACAUUAUUAACCCUAUUUCAUAUCUUUCAAACAUAAUCGAUUAUUAUCAUCCAUGAUUGUUAAAUUUUAAUAUAUUAUAGGCUAUAUUUUGCAUCAAACUUAUUAUUUUACCGUAUCUUUAUAGCAUCAAUAGAUUUUUUUCACAAAACUGUUAUUUAAAAAACCUUCCGCUUUGUUUUUUUUUAGUCUUUUUCGCGAGUGUUUUGUACGUUUUCCAUAUACUCAACGAAAAUAAUAAUUGUCAUUUAAAAAAAAAAAAAAAAACCAAAUACCAUAAAAUUGAAACGGAUCUCAUCAUCUUUUUUAGAAAUCAUCUAAAUCGAACUAUGAGUAUUUUAAUUUUUUGAUUAAAAGAUAUUUUGUUGGAUCAUACUAACUAUAUUGGUUUUAUUAACUAGUGUUCUAAGACACUAAUUAACAUUUCUCUUUUUACUUCAUAAAUGAUUCAAACUUUAACGUGAACGCAUCUACUUCAAAUCACUUUGUGUGUACGACUAACAAAUGAAGUUCAUAUAUAAUAUGAUUUCUCAGAGCAUAAAUCUCUAUUUUGCAUUCAUGUGUAUAUAAAUUAAUUCUUAAUGUCUAACUAUUAUUUUUUAUUAAAGUCGAACUACUUUUUUUUUUUCUAAACAAUGUCUCUAACUAUCUUAAAAAUUAAUAAUUUCUCUUUCAGUAUUUGACCCUUUCCUUGAUCAAAAAGAAUUUGACCCUUUCCUUGAUAAAAAUAAAAUAAAAUAAAUUGACCCUUUCACAUACUAUUGUUUAUAAUGCGUAUGGAAUAAUUGACACGACACAUUAACUAAGCGUACUUACUCCACUAGUGCAAUAUUAAAAUUACAGUCUGAAAAAGAAAAAAAAUCAUGUACCAAUUUCGACCAAUAAAUUUAAUGAUGAAAUUAAUCCCUACAUAUGAAAAAAAAUAAAAUUUGAAGAAGCUAAACUAACCCCCUCAAAUCGGUGCAAGAGAGAAUCGAACCUGAGACUUUAAGGAGGAACACACUCCCAGAUCCCAAAUCAAUAUCACUAAAUCAACCCAAGUGGGUUCAUAUGAAAAAAUAUUUGUUGAAAGAGAAAGGUCAUUUAAUUGAAUCUUCGUACUUUAAAAAUUCCUAAUAUCUAGCUUUUGACUAUAAGAUACUUUUGGCAACCAAAUAAUUUGAUCCCAUAGAUUUCAUGCUGCCUUUGUUUUUAACAUUAAUUUUCGAAAAUCAGAUGUUUCUCUCUCCCCCUCUCUCUUUUGUGAGCCGUCGGCCGAAACUCUAAUUUCUUCUCUUUCAUCCACCAAAGAGGGAUGAUUUAGGGUCAAUUUUUGACCCUGAAUCACCCCUCUAAAUCGUUUUUCUCCUUCCCUUCUAUUUAAGUAAGUGAUUUUCACAUCGAAUUAGGUUUUCCUUUUGUGAUUUCGUCGUCUUAGUGCGACGUUGUUUGUCUUUUCCAUGGUUCAGGUGUUUGCUCGAUUCAGAUUGUCAGAUCAGUUUCGAUCCAGUGCAGAUCCAACCAAUAACUUUGGCGUCAUCAACGUUGCAGAUCCGGAGGCAUAGCUAUUCCGAAGAUUUUAAUAUAGUCAUAUUUGUAGGCUUAUGUACUUUGCCGUUUUAUGCUAUAUAUUAACAUGGAUGUUGUGAGUUUUUUCACAAAUUCAUCCUUUUUGUUUUUAGUGAAUUUGUAUUGCAUCGAUGUACUCUGUCAAUUUGAAUGAAUGAAUGUGUCCUUUGUUUUGUGUAAAAAAACAUUAAUUUUCGAGAAGAGUUGCGCAAGUUACGAAAUUGAGUGUCACGUCAAUAAAUGAUGUUCGGUUGAUGUAAAUUUUGGAGAAAAUCGGGGAGGAAGGCCACCAAAUUAAAGAAGAGAUGAAAACAUAAGAGUGUGUUUGUUUCAAGGAAAGAAAUUACAUUCCUUGGAAUGACAUUCAUGGGAACAAAUUUUCAAAAUUUGAAACAAGCACGGGAAUGUUGCAUUUCCAAUCUCACAUUCCCGGGAAUCAUAUUACAACCCUUGAAACAAACACACUAUAAGAUGCCGAAAUCGCUCAAGGAAGAAUGGAAGGUCAUGAAAUCGCACAAUCGUGAUACUUAAAGGUCAAAUAUGCAGUUAAACCUAUAAUUUUUCUCUCUAAAUUUAUUUAAUUGAUUAUAUUUUUAAGAAAAUAAUACUACAAAAUAAGUGUCAAGUGUUGCCUAAUUAAUGAAGAAUUUUGUAUCAAAAUAAAAAAUACUCGAUAAAGGAUUUGAUCUUUUGAACUAUACGUUGAUAAAAUAGUUGAUAGUUGGAUUUGGAAACAUGCUUCAGAAACUCAAACUACUUAGUUAAAUGAUUUGAUCAUAUUUUGACUCAAGAAGAGCCGGUCCAUGCACCUUUUACGUAGAUUAUUUAAAACAAUGCAAUGCCUCUUAAAGUGUCGUUUUUUGCGUGGAGAGUCUUCAAUAAGAAAAUUUCGAUAAAAGGCAAUUUGGGUCUUUGGUUAUGUAUAUGUUGUCCCAAUGCUUGACAAAACAUAUCCAAACAAUGUAAAACACUGUGAGCUUGCUCAAUAGAAACCUUCGCAAAAAGAAGAUUAUCAUCAACAAAAAGCAAAUGAGAGGUUUAAGGGAUAUGCAUUUUUUCUCUCUGUCACCAUGUCACCAUGUAAAACACUGUCACCAUGUCUAAUACCACUUAUGAGAACGAAAGUGUCAAUGUUCUCUCUGUUCGACAAUAUUUUGUAUGAGAGAGAAGAAAUACAAUGAUGAAUUACCUAAAUGAGCUUAGAAUGAAAUUGCACCCCUUUAAGCAUUUUUUCACAAAAUUCUAGUUUAGACGAUCAUAGGCUUUUUUCAGUUCAAUUUUAAUAGACAUAUACAGUGUGUUUGGUAGAGGUGAAAUUGCAGAGAGAGAGAGAGAUGCAAGCGAGAGAAAUAGGAUUGAGAUGCAGAAUCUUUUAGUGUACCAUCUCCCAACUACAAUGAUGUUAUGAUGGGUACUUCUUUCAAAAAUAAAAAUAAACUGAUAUGGAUAAACUAUCCCAUCAAAUAAAAGUUUAAUUCUAUUAACAUAAACUUUAGAAAUAACAUUAUACAAAACUUUGAGUCUAAAUUGAGAAAAAAUUAUUCAGGUUUAUCAAUUUUAUGUUUAUGUAUUAUACCAUACGCUAGUAAUACUAUCUUUUAUUAUGUUCACGCAUGUGUCUCAAGCAUAUGGGUAUAAUGUGUAAGCUAUGGGAAAAUGACUCAAGCAUGUGUCUCAAGCAUGGAAUAUAGUGUCAGUAGCAAAUAAAAAGGUUAUAAAGAACAAGAAACGAUCUAGACAUCAUACUAUCUUUUAUGUUCGUGUGGUUGGCUCUGAUUAAUCUAACAAGUAUGGGAUGCUUGACCUUGAUGCAAUAAUGUUUCUUUAAACACCGACGUAGUAGUAAUAAUAAUAAUAAUUUAAAAUAAUGUUUAUUUAUAAAAAAAGUAAUAAUAGUAUGUUUUUUUAUAACAAUGAGGGCCUAAGAUAAAAGAAGAAAGAGAUAACAACGAGAUUAUAGGUGGAGUAAAAUUCCCUAUCAAAUCAAAAAGCAACAAAGACUAAUAUUGUUAGGACGAACAUCAAAGGAACAGGUCCCUAAAUCCAUCGAACAAGCUAAAUUGUUUGCGCAUUGAUUUGCUUCAUGAUAAGAGUGAUAACAACAACUUCUCAAUCAAGUGAAAGGAAGCGAUGAAUCUUCUCAACUAGCUACCUCCUUCUCUAGCUAUCAUGCACAUGUGAAGUGAUAGCUUUUACAAUAACUAAGGAGUCAACAUGCAACUCAAUAAAUCAAAAUUGCAACCUUCUAACAUUACAUGACCCCUUCCAAUAAUGAUGUGUUGUUGCCUAUAAACAAUUUUCUACUUUGUAGAGCUUUAGUACGAUGUAAAAUGAGUCGAUGUUGUGAAAAAUAAGUAAGAAUUGACAUACAUAGUGAAAAUAAGCAAGAUUAUACAUUGUUUUGAUUUUUUUUUUUUAAGUUUUAAAUAAGCUUUACUACGUUAGUAUAUAAGACCAUCUUUAAAUGAGGAGUCUUGUUUUUAUUUUUUAUUUUUUUCCUUUUUAAAUUAAUGAGGAAUCUUAGAGUGUGUUUGGAUGGGGGAAUGUUUUAAGGGAAUGUAAUGUUUUGAAGGAAUUCAAAUACCUUGAGGUGAAUUUCAUUGUUUGGGUAAUAGUUUGAAGAAUUUUCAAAAUGAUGGAAAUUUAUGAAGUAUUUUGUUCAAGUUAAAUGUAGAGAAUUUCAAAUGACACCUAAAAGUUAAGAAUUUCAAAAAUCUUCAUUGUCAUAUUUUUUCAAAUUUUACAUUUUGGUCCUCAAACUUUCCAAAAUUUUCAAUUUGACCCCAAUAAAUUUAUAAAAAUUGCAAAUUGACCCCUCAAAUUUUCCAAAAAUUAUAAUUUGGCCCCUCAAAAAAUUUGAAAUUUACUAAUUGACCUCUAAUUUCAUUUUUCAAAUUUGGCCCAAAAAAAUUGAAAUUUAUAAAAGUUGCCCAAAAAUGAUGACAAUAAAUUUUUUUUAUUACUCCAUCCAAACAAUAAUAUUUAAGAAUGAAAGCAAUUUAAUUGAAUCAUUUGAAUUACCUAGAAUUCUAAAUUCUUCAAAAUUUCUCAAAUACUCCAUCCAAACACACUCUUAGAGAAUCUAUAAUGAAUAACUCUGAAAAUGAAUUUUUAAGUGUGAUUUAUGUGUACACAUUACACAUUUGUAAUUUUUAAAUAUCAAUUUCUGAUAACCAUUGAACCCUUCCAUUAACUUCAUCCAUAUUCUCCUAGCCAUUAUGUAUAAUUGGCCCUCUAACAAGUACUUGUUUGUACUGUAUUCCAAAAAAUGAUGUUGAUGAGAGACUUACUAAGUAAUGUUUGACAUAGUCGAGUAUUAUUAUAAAAUAUUGAUAAAGUCAAGGACAUUUAUAAGCGCGACUCGUAGAGUUAGAGACCAACUUGAUCAUUUAACUAGCCAUGUUAAAGCUAUUAAUAGUGUCAUCAAACAGUGUUGAUCAAAGGAAUUAACUUAAUAUAACGUUUGAUAAAGUUAGAGACUAUUUUAAAAUAGGAUUUUUCUAUCAUGUGAAAAUUUGCACAUAUUAAGAAGUUUAA
rnacentral:lncRNA from 1 species